rnacentral:lncRNA from 1 species
AACAAGUCCAAUUUGUGUUGCCCACCAUAUACUCACUGGAGCAUGGCCAAACUCCUGAUGACCAGUGUCUUAGAGAAAACUGAGUCCUUCCCCACCCACAUCCCUGCCAGAAACCAUCAAUUGUGGAGAGCUACACUUCAGCAUUCUUAUCACCGUUUUUUUUUUAUAUCAUUGUUUCCCUCAUUAAUUUGAACCCACAACUUUAUCUGACCCUCACAACUUGCUUUGAAACUGGGAAAUUGUGUUUGUCCUUUGUUUGACUUUCUCUUCUGGGUAUCUUCUGGGUAGGGCAUACUGGUUGACACCAUGUAUUUGUUUAGAUGGAUUUAGUUAGGAAGUGUUUCCUUCAGGCUGCUUCUGUUGCCUCUGCAAAAAUUGUGCUCACUUAGAGGGGGACACCUGGUGGCAGCUGAUUAUUUCAGGAAGAGGUCAAUCAGAAAGAAAGAAGGCCCCACCUAUUUUGUUGCAAAUGGUAAUAAUUUCACUCUUCUUUACUGAUGAAUAACACUCUAAUUUUUGUAUACUUAUGUAUGUUUUGUAUACAUAUAUAUGUAUAAAUAUAUUAUAUGCGCACAUGUGUAUAUUAUAUAUGUGCAUACAUAUGUAUACAUUAUACACACAGACACACACAGAGGCACACAGACACACACACACAUAUAUGUAUGUAUGUAUGUAUGUGUAUACACACAGACACACACACACACAUAUAUUUCUCAUAGUUUUAAUCUGUUCAUCUGUUGUUGAUGGCCACCUAGUUUAAUUUUAUAACUUACCUAAUGCAAUUAACAUUACAAUGAGCCCAGGCUUAUAGGUGUGUCUUUUCUAUGGUAACUUCUGAUACUGACUUAAGGAACAUAUGUAGUUUUCUAUUUCUUUUGUCCAAGUUUUAAAACUAAAGCUAAUUUAAAAAAUGUUAUUUAUUAUAAUUGUGUAUGUGAGUAUGUGAGUAUGUGUAUGGGGCAUAUGAUGUAUGGAGGGACAUGGGUGUUCCAGUAUGUGUGACGUGUGUGGAAGUCAGAGAACAAGUUUUGAUAGUCAGUUCUCUCCUUCCACUGUGGGUUUCUGGGAUCAAAGUCAGACCAUCUGGCUGUGUAGCAAGUGCUUUGUCCACUGAGUCAUCUUGCUUGUUCAUGAACACAAUUUCAAGAGCUUGUCUGCUGACUAUAGGUUUAUCAUGUAUAGUCUUUAUUGUGUUGAGAUGGAUUUCUUCUGUUUCUCCUCCAUUCAGGAAUUUUAACUGAUGGGUUGUUGGAUUAUUUCCUCAUGGACUUAAGAAUGAUUACUUUAUUAAUAUGCAGGAAAUCAUUUGUCCAUAUGUAGGAAAUCUGGAAGUUGGUCCACUUUCAUUUGAAGGGCAUGAACACAAUAGGACCUCAGGAUGUGACAGGCUGCUUCAGGAUCCUGCUUUGACUACUCUGUGGUGAUGGAUUUCUAAGGCAGUUUGUCACAGCAACUGAAAUGUAAUAAGAUAAGUACUAAGGAAGCAGGGCGGUUGGUCCAUGGGUCAUGUGGAACAGGAACGCCCUCAAAUGGUUUUGUGAACUCUCUCCUGCUUUCC